CUCGUUUGUUUUCAGGGAUUGAAUGGGAUUGAAAGGUGAAAAUUCAAGAAAUAAAUGUCAUGAAGUACUACAUAUAAAUCACGAAUUUUGGAAUGCUGGCUCAUAAUUUAAAAUAAAAAAUAAAUAUAAAAUAAUAAAAAAGAAAGAAACAAAUAUUGAAAUGUUCUGAAGUUUUCAAAUAUAUUUUACUAUUUUAUAUUUUGUUAAACACGAGAUGAGUAAUAUACAGGAGAUGUCUUAAACACGGAGGUGUAUGGAGAAAAGAAAAAAGAACCGAUUACAAAGUUCAUGGCUACAACAACAACAUGCAAGUCAAGAGUCGAGCAGAACAAAAUCUGGGGCAAGCAGAAAUUUUAUAUUUCAACAAACUGAUGUAAGUUGUAUGACAGGUAUUAAGAUCAUCGCUGCUUUAUGAAUUUUGAACUUUAUGUAUUAAACAUGUCGGCAAAAUGCUAUAAUAAGCCAGUAAAUCCACCCCACCACUUUGCUCACCGGAUCAGCAGUCGGCACUG